UACGUAGGGCGCAAGCGUUAUCCGGAAUUAUUGGGCGUAAAGGGCUCGUAGGCGGUCUGUUGCGUCAGGAGUGAAAACUCGGGGCUUAACCCCGAGCCUGCUUCUGAUACGGGCAGACUAGAGGUAUGCAGGGGAGAACGGAAUUCCUGGUGUAGCGGUGAAAUGCGCAGAUAUCAGGAGGAACACCGGUGGCGAAGGCGGUUCUCUGGGCCGCAACUGACGCUGAGGAGCGAAAGCAUGGGGGAGCGAACAGG
rnacentral:rRNA from 1 species